GCCAGCUUUCCAUCACCGCUGCCUUUUUCCAGAUGAUCAGAGUGCUCCUGUUCCUUCUCCUCAUGGCCUUUCAUCACCUUCAUCACUGAAGAGCAGAUGAGAGACAUUUUUCGAGACUCACCCUGCCUCAACACUGUGAGCUGUGCUGAUGCAGACGUUUUCCCUAAAGCAUUGUGGGAUAUGCAAGAGUAGACCCCUGUAUCAGAGACGUGGAGGCCCUGUAUCUGGAGCCAGGUAGACACGGUGAAGCGCUGGGGACCGCCUCGAGCCUGAAAAACAGACAAGAUUCAAUCUCAGGAGAUGAUAUGAAUCUAUUCAGAGAUUUCUUCAUCAGCCCCAAGUCCUUUCUAACAAAGAGGCAGCAUUCUCAGUGAAUGAAGAGAGCAAACUUCAUCUCUAAGGUAUCCGACUCGUCUCAUCUUUCUUUCCUCCCAAAUCUGCUGCCUUUCUUCAUGUGCCAGUGUCUCUGGGCAGGGCUGGACUGGCAAACGGGCUUCAGAAAUGGCACAGGAUAUCAAAGUACCCUACUAGAUCUGAACUUCAUACAAACUAAACAAAAAACAACAGCUUUCUAUACAAAUGCAAUGAUUCUAACAUAUAUUUAAUAUUUAACAUGCAAGGAUCUGAAGUUCAUAUGAAAUGCAGUUCUAU